GAUGAACGCUGGCGGCGUGCCUAAUACAUGCAAGUCGAGCGAACGGACGAGAAGCUUGCUUCUCUGAGUUUAGCGGCGGACGGGUGAGUAAUACGUGGAUAACAUACCUAUAAGACUGGGAUAACUUCGGGAAACCGUAGCUAAUACCGGAUAAUAUUCUGAACCGCAUGGUUCAAAAGUGUAAGACGGUCUUGCUGUCACUGAUAGAUGGACUCGCGCUGCAUUAGCUGGUUGGUAAGGUAACGGCUUCCCAAGGCAACGAUGCAUAGCCGACCUGAGAGGGUGGUCGGCGACACUGGAGCUGAGACACGGUCCAGACUCCUACGGGAGGCAGCAGUAGGGAAUCUUCCGCAAUGGGCGAAAGCCUGACGGAGCAGCGCCGCGUGAGGGAUGAAGGUCUUCGGAGCGUAAAGCUCUGUUAUUAGGGAAGAACAUAUGUGUAAGUAACUGUGCACAUCUUGACGGUACCUAAUCAGAAAGCCACGGCUAACUACGUG
rnacentral:rRNA from 1 species